rnacentral:lncRNA from 1 species
AGAAUGAGGACGCUGGCCGUUGGACCUCUGAGGAGAUGGCCACGUAGAGGUUUUGGAAUAGGUUGUACAACCUUCGACAGUCUGUUAUAGAGCACUCCAGUUUCGAAUCACCAUCGGAUUGAUAGCCUUACACAGAUCACUAGAUGCGGACGGACAUAUAGGAGGUCCUCUGCGAUCAGUGGAGUACCAAAGAGUACUCUGGUAGGCG